UACGGAGGGUGCAAGCGUUAUCCGGAUUCACUGGGUUUAAAGGGUGCGUAGGUGGGCAAGUAAGUCAGUGGUGAAAUCUCCGGGCUUAACCCGGAAACUGCCAUUGAUACUAUUUGUCUUGAAUACUGUGGAGGUCAGCGGAAUAUGUCAUGUAGCGGUGAAAUGCUUAGAUAUGACAUAGAACACCAAUUGCGAAGGCAGCUGGCUACACAAAUAUUGACACUGAGGCACGAAAGCGUGGGGAGCGAACGGG
rnacentral:rRNA from 1 species